UAGGGUACGAGCGUUGUCCGGAAUUAUUGGGCGUAAAGAGCUCGUAGGUGGUUGGUCACGUCUGCUGUGGAAACGCAACGCUUAACGUUGCGCGGGCAGUGGGUACGGGCUGACUAGAGUGCAGUAGGGGAGUCUGGAAUUCCUGGUGUAGCGGUGAAAUGCGCAGAUAUCAGGAGGAACACCGGUGGCGAAGGCGGGACUCUGGGCUGUGACUGACACUGAGGAGCGAAAGCAUGGGGAGCGAACAGGAUUAGAUACCCUGGUAGUCCAUGCCGUAAACGUUGGGCACUAGGUGUGGGGGACAUUCCACGUUUUCCGCGCCGUAGCUAACGCAUUAAGUGCCCGCCUGGGGAGUACGGUCGCAAGGCUAAAACUCAAAGGAAUUGACGGGGGCCCGCACAAGCGGCGGAGCAUGCGGAUUAAUUCGAUGCAACGCGAAGAACCUUACCAAGGCUUGACAUACACCGGACACGCUUGGRAACAGGUGCUCCCUUUGGGGCUGGUGUACAGGUGGUGCAUGGUUGUCGUCAGCUCGUGUCGUGAGAUGUUGGGUUAAGUCCCGCAACGAGCGCAACCCUCGUUCUAUGUUGCCAGCACGUGAUGGUGGGAACUCAUAGGAGACUGCCGGGGUCAACUCGGAGGAAGGUGGGGAUGACGUCAAAUCAUCAUGCCCUUUAUGUCUUGGGCUUCACGCAUGCUACAAUGGCCGGUACAGAGAGAGGCGAGCCUGUGAGGGUGAGCGAAUCCCUUAAAGCCGGUCUCAGUUCGGAUCGUAGUCUGCAAUUCGACUACGUGAAGUCGGAGUCGCUAGUAAUCGCAGAUCGCUGCGGUGAAUACGUUCCC
rnacentral:rRNA from 1 species